AGACUGUAAAGUUGCUUAUCGAAGGACCAUUCAAAAGCCUGGUAACAGAGGGGAAGAAACUGUUCCUGAGUCUGGCAGUGCGUACUUUCAAACGUUUGUAUCUUCUGCCUGACACGAGC